GGCCCUUAUACUAUACCUAUAUAUUUAUUCUGCAAUCAGCCAUUUAUAAUAUACAGAUAGAGUACUACAAAUUUAGUACAUUGAAACGGAAACAAUCCGCAUGUAUCACACUUCUUUUGCGAAGUCAGCAUAGUUAUUUACGGUAUAUUGUGCUUCGUUUUGAAUAAUCUUGUUCAAGUAUAGGCAAGGACACAAAUUUUGGGUUCUACACCAAAAAGGUAUUUACUAAAACCCAAAAUGGUAAUUGUCAGAAAAGCUAAAUUUUUCUGAAAGUAGCAUUUGCUACUCGGUAUGUGUAACAAAAGUUUUAGUAUGGUAACUCAGUUUAGAAACUUAUUGAUCAAGUAUUGGUUUUUAGCGAUCACUGGAAAUAUUUUGUGUAUUUGUUUAAAUUUAGAAUGCUUUACAUAUGUAGGUAGUGCAGAGCGUUUCUUUGAAAAUGAAGAUGAGAAAUUCACUUAGUUUGGAUAGAAUCUUAGAUUUGCAAUAGGUUACCUGUCAUACCUGUAUUGACACAAGUGUACAGUUACACAUGAAGUGGUAAAAAUAGUUUUGUCGAAAUCUAUGACUAGAUCAUUCAUUCCUGAUCUUUCGAAAGGAUUAUUAUAAGACAAAAGCAAUCAUUACCUUUAAAG
rnacentral:lncRNA from 1 species